UACGUAGGGGCCUAGCGUUGUCCGGAUUUAUUGGGCGUAAAGAGCUCGUAGGCGGUUCGGCAAGUCGGAUGUGAAAUCUCCACGCUCAACGUGGAGGGGCCAUUCGAAACUGCCGUGACUCGAGUCCGGCAGGGGAGUGUGGAAUUCCCGGUGUAGCGGUGAAAUGCGCAGAUAUCAGGAAGAACACCAAUGGCGAAGGCAGCUCUCUGGGACGGUACUGACGCUGAGACGCGAAAGCGUGGGGAGCGAACAGG
rnacentral:rRNA from 1 species